GAAGCAUGAGUCAACUGGAGCAGCGGCCCUGGAGAGAGCGGAUCGCAGGCAGCACGGAGGGCCCCGUGGAGUCUGGCAGUCAUGAAUUUAUGGUGGCACCAGUCUGCGAGGUCAUCUGAUCUUCUCAAGCAGAGUUCAGCAGCCCAGGUGUACAAAGUGCUCAGAAACUGUGGCAUGAUCCAAGUCUCCAGGUGAGAAAUUAUGGGAACUGUCACGCCAAAUCAGCCGGUCGCCGUUAUGUCAUGGGAUCCGGACCAGGAGAAGAAGGCUGGCCGGGCGGAGUGCAUGUGAUCAGCGUGUGACAGGCCGUGCAUCCAGCCUGCUGAUGGCACCGGCUCUCCUGGCCCAAAUAACCACAAAAAGGAACAGAUUUCAGACAGGCAGUUUUACAGCGUCCCUGUGGUUACUUUGCCAACUUCCAGCCACUUCUUUCUCUAGCACUGAGCCGAAGAGACACGUAACCAUUAUCAAAAUGUGCUGAAUAAAUAGGUCACUCCGUUUUAGUUA